UACACUAUACUACGGUUUUCAGAACAGCUUACAUAUUUCAAAAUUAUUUACACAGCCAAAAGAAAUGUAGACAAUUAAUUUGGGAGGUGGCUUGUAAGAGAACAACAAAGAGUGAGACUGAAUGUUUUGCUUGAUAUUUAUAAUUAUUCUAUCAAUUUUGAAGGAGAGGACCUUAUAAGUUACUCUUUUCUGAGAUGAAUGCUUUUCAAAAAUCAUCACAACCAAUGAACCAGAAUCUUACCCUCACCUAAUGUCUAUGCCACCCUCCAAGCAGAACCAUUGUUCAUUGAAACAGUUGAUGAAUGA
rnacentral:lncRNA from 1 species